UUUAGUUUCAAAAAAAAAAGUAGCAUUUAAUGUACGGAUUUUGAAUAUGCAUGCCAGAUGUAAAAAUUCUUAUAUAAAUGUGAGUAAAGUCGAUUACUUCUUAUUUUAUUUUUUUUAAUUACUGUCCACUUCUUGACACACGUAAUAAAAAAAAAUUCUACACCACAGAAUCAUCAUGCUGUAAACAUCCUUGAGUCUAUAUUUUAUAAAUGUACUCUCGAAUAAGGAAGAUUACACAUUCAUGUAUAUCCUCAAAUCACUAAUAAAGCUUUCGGUUCCUUUGCUAAGAUUUUAUUCGAUUUCUUCGAACAUGUAGAUAUUCUAUUUCCACUCCUGUACCAAGAUUUUUUCUCCAUUUGUAUAUAUGUUUUGUUCAUUUUAUUUUGAUUCAAAGGUUAAGAGUUCUAGAUUUUGACUGAUAAAAUUGAAUGCUAAAUGGAAUGAGAAGAAAAGUCAAGAGAAAAAAUAUAAACAAAAUUUUAGUGUACAUUUUCCUCUGUUUUUUCAUUGAACCUUAUAGAAGAAGUUUGAUUUCCACUUUUCCGCAAACCAAAAAAUAAUAACGAAUUAAUUCGUUCCAUCUUUUUUAUUGGUUGAAAGAGAAACUAUAACACAAUAAAAUUCAACGCUGCUGAAAACCUAUUCUCUUUUUUGAACCUGCCACUAGAAACCAAAAUAGUGUAAGUGUACCGAUUAUAACUUGACUACAGAAACCUAAAAGAAAAACCUUAAGAAGAGUAGUAUAUUUAAUUAAUAAACUAGAUUUUGAUUCGCGCUUUCAAAACGCGAGAAUAUAUUUGUUGAUAAAUUUAUUGAUAUAACUGUUUGUUAACUAAUUUAUUUCGCUAUAAACAUUUUCGGUUUUCGUUCGACUCUAAUUUGCUUUUAUUGAUUUUUUAUUUCAGUUUGUUUGUGGUUUUUGGUUUAGAAAUAUAUGAACAAUUUUGGUUAUAUAUGAAGUUGAGUUUUGGUUAAAGUGAUUGAAUAUUUUGAUAUUUUGUGUGGUAUGGAUAUAUAAAAAUUUUGAAUUUUUCGGUUCUGGUUACUGUUUUAAAUCAUUUCAAAUAAUUGAGGUAAAAUAAAAAAAUCUUCAUAUUGUGAAUCACCAAUAUAGUAAAAUGAAAGAAAUAUUUAGAAAAUUAUUUUAUUUACAUAUCUAUUUAUUUAACGUAUAAAUAAUAUAGCAAAAAAUAACAAAUAGUUUUAAUAACAUAAAGUUACUAUAUUCAUAAAAAAUGUUAUAGUUUUUAUUAAAAUAUAAUCUGUAAUGUUUAUAUAAUGAAAAAGUUAUAAUGUCGAUAUUUUAUAUUUUCAAAUAUUUUAAUUUGCUGAAAAGAAUUAAAAUGAGACGCACUAUUACCUGAUUUUAAAAUCACAUGCAAAAAUGAUCAAGUUGGAUCGCAAAAAUCAAUUCAACCAGAAAGCAAAGCAAACAUAUAUCUUAUUUUACCUUAAUAGGCCCAAGCCCACUGUCCUUACAAAUAUAUUUUAUUGUUUUGACAGACAAAAUCAGGUUUAUUAUUGGAAAAGUCACUGAAAAAGUUAAUGGAAAAUUUUGUAAUUAAUUGAAAAAGUCAGGGGCAUAAUCUUAAGAAGGAUUUUGUUUUAAUAGUAUAGACUAGAUUUUGAUCCGUGCUUUCAAAGCGCGGGAUUAUCUUAUUUUGAAAUAUAUUUUAUUUAUAACAUGUAUAACAUGUAUAUUUUUUAAUAAGUGUUUUUAUGUUAUAUUUGUAGUAGUGGUUUUAUAUAAUUAGGAUGAUAAGUAUCUAUAUAUAAAUAUAAAAAUAUAUAAUCUUGAUGCUAAUAUAAUAGUAUAGAUGUAUAUAUAUAUAUAUGUAUUUAUAGUUGAGAGGUUUUGAAAAGAGUUCAAAUAUUAAGUGGGUUUUUUUUAUAUUAUCAGACAUGUUUUACUAUCAAAACUAAAAAUUAAUUUGGUAUCUUUAAUUUUCCAAAUUUGUAAUAAUUAAAAACUAUAAAUGUAAUUUUUAAAAUUGCAAAAAUAUAAUUUGUUUUGUAUAGUUUUGUAGUUUUUUUUCUUUGUUUUUGGGUGAUCAUUAUGUAUAUGUAAGGGUAGUAGUAGAUGAUUUGUGUUAAUUAUGUAAAGUUUUUUUAAAGUGUAAUUAAUAUCAUUUUCUCAGAUUUGUUUAAUGGGAUGUUGAAAUUAUUUUUCAAUCUUAUUAGUCCACAUUGGAAUAUGAAUUAAGUCUUUUUUGCAUAUAUAACUCGGCUUGAGACACUAUAAGAUGGUCCAAAAAUAUAUUAAAUAUUUUCUUUAUGUUGAAAUAAAAAAGACAAAAAAAUCUGAUUCUUUAGUAUUAUUAAAAAAUCAGAUAGUGAAAGUAAAAAGACAAUAACUCUGCCGACAUAUUCCUUUUCUCCAUAACUUCUCUCAAAUUAGAAAAGUAAUCGACGAUCCUCGUUGUUUCCGAUUCGAAGAUAGAACAAAAAAAUCAGAAGGAGUAAUCUCAUGUCUUGUUCAUCUCUGUGUGUUAUAAAAGAGUAAAAGAUCUUUCUCAGGUCCACGGAACAGAACACUAAGAUCUCAGAUCUGUUCAGAUCUUGUUAAGAACUUGGAUCGAAGAGGAAGUCAAAGAUCUUAUUAAAGCAUGAAACAGAGUGAAACAGAAGCUUUAAAAGUCGGUAGAUUCACCGAGGAUUUGACCAUACCAAAUAUAGCUGAAGGCAAAAUCUUGUGAACAAAGAUGAGUCUGGGAUGGUUGUCGAUUAUAUCAUAAGAAGAGUUGGAAGACAAACAAAUGAUUUCUUAUCAAUGUGAGAUUGGAAUGAUUUUGAAGAGUCUGAAGACGAUGUGAAUCAAUCAAAGACUACAGACUUCAUUCUCCUAUGAAGGAAAACAUGACUUCAAUAUAAAAGUUAAGUUAUUUUCAGAAAGUUUGUCUUUUUUACAUUAGAUAUAAUAUAUCUUCCAUUGGAACAUAGUUUUUCUUUCAUCUAUUCAUCCACGAAAGUCAUAUUCAAUAUUUGGAAACUAUCAACUUUAGACUUAAUGUUGUUUCCUAAUUUAACAGCACAAAGCUGACAGUUGAAUAAUGAUGAAGGCCAUGAGGCAAAGUCUAUCAAAAACCUUGCAGUACACAGAUAAGUCUCGGACUAUAGGUUUAUUUGGUUGAUUUAGAAAUGAGAAACGGUAUAUAUUUUACCGUUUAGUGAGUUGACUUAAUUAAAUAUACAAUUGAUGUACAGGUGGUGCAGUCUGUUGUACACAACAUGAGAUUUACACAGAAGGUCGAGCAGUCAAAGGUUUAGAGACAGAAGCUUAAUUCAUUUGAAGGACAUGGGACAAAGACAUGACUGCAAAGAAAUACAAACCCAAGUAAGUGCAUUUUAAAAGCUUAAAAUUUUAGUAAUUAGGCUUCGAGCUGAAACUGGUAGUUAGGGGAAUAAACCGGAAGAUUUUUUGAUGAAUGUUGAUUGCAUUAUACGUGUUUCCUACUUUAGAGACUUAAAAAUUAGUGUGUAAAUUUUAUUAGAGAUGAAGCUGGCAUCUGACUUAUCUGGCAUUUUGUGUUAUGUUUUCAAAUAUAAAACUUCUGCAGAAUUUAAAUAUGCCUGUUUGAAAUAGUCAUUAUUUGGUAUUGAGGAUUUCCAGCCUCAUCAUGAAAAUAAAAAAUUAGGAUCCUUUAUGAAUCAAACUUUUCCAAAAGUUCCAAUCAUAAUAUAAGAGAAACGUUUUAAUAUAAAACAGUAACUAAACAUAAACUUUAUAAUCUAUAGAUUAUCAAAAAUCUCUCUAAAGACCACGUUUUUGGUUUGACGUUGAGGUUUACCUUCACUGUCAAUAAUCAAUAUCUUCAAUCCUUUUUUUGAAGUCACUCUGGAAACAGCAACAUAUAGUUGUCCGUGAGAAAAAAUCGGUCUUGGUAGAAAAAUUCCAACUUCAGACAAUGUUUGACCCUGGCUUUUAUUGAUAGUAAUGGCAAAUGCCACACCAAUAGGCAAUUGUCUCCUCUUCAUUUUGAAUGGCAACUUUUUGUCUGAAGGAGUUAUAGAGAGUCUAGGAAUUAGCACAGCUCGACCAAUUUUUUCUCUUUCCCCUGUCAUAACCUUCGCCUUUAUCAUGAAGUCAUACAUUUCUGUAAUCUGGAGUCUAGUACCAUUCAUCAAUCCACCAACAGGAUCUAUGUUUCUUAGCAACAUCACUGGACAACCCACUUUCAGUCGCAGACUGUGAUUUGGCAAUCCUGAUGCCUUGAUUCUGUUUAAAAAAUCUAGAGUAAGAGCUUGGUCAUUAACUGAAAACCUAUCUGAAGCAUCAAUAGAAUCAGAGCUUAGAAAUAUUUUUUCCUCUCCUGCAUAAAAGACCUUCGUUGUUAACAAAUAUAUAUCACUUCAAAAAAUAUUACAUGUAAAAAUUAGAAAAUUGUAACUAACCAUGAAGCUUAUCCAGCAUAUGUUAAUUAAUCAUGUUGACAUCAUCGUUAGUAAGACAUAGAAUAGCUCUCUCCUGAAAAAACUUUGCCUCGCUGUUCUGGUGUAAAGAAGUAGCAUCUCCAUACACUGCUGAACUUAUAGCUUCUAUUGGAUCUUUAGCAUCAAGAAUUAGAAACUCCUCUGGGAUGUCGAUAAGAGCUUCCCCAUCAUUUCCAUCACCAAUCUUUCUAUCUCCAAUAUCUAAUAUCCAUUGUGAAAACUCCUGCAAGCUUUUGACUCCUCAGCCGACAAAUUAUUGGACAGCAGACGCAUAUUAUUGGUUAACUGCAAAACUUUUACAUGCUUCCAUAGAUAAGAUGAAUUAAGAGCAGCCAUAACAAUCUCUGCCCUUCCAGCUCCAUGAAUGACAUGCAACACUUGUCUAAAAUCUCCACCGAAAACAACAACUUUGCCACCAAAAGGUCUUUUAUCCUUAUCUCCAACAAUGUCCAACAUACUCCUAUCCAAUGAUUCAAAACAAUGCUUGCUCAUCAUUGGAGCUUCAUCCCAGAUUAUGAGGGAGGCUGCUUUCACCAGAUCCGCUUUAUCAGUUCCUGGUGCAAGUUUGCAUGUGGAAAAUUCAUCUGGAUUGAUAGGAAUACCAAAUCGAGAAUGUGCAGUCCUUCCUCCCUGCAGCAACAGAGAAGCUAUCCCACUCGAGGCAACAUUUAGACAUAUUUCUCUUCUAACACGUACUGAAGCAGAAAGCAAUCUCCACAAGAAAGUUUUGCAUGUACCACCAAAUCCAUAAACAAAAAACACCCCUCCUUUUUUAUGAAAACAGCAUCAGUAAUCUCAUUGUAUAUCUUCUUUUGCUCAUCUGUUAGUUUUGGAAUGUCACGCUGAAGGUCAGAUUCUAACUCCUCCCGGUCGUAACUGAGCUCGUCCAUAAUCAAAACAUUGUUAUUAACAAUGGAAUUGGUUUAGGCAUAGAUUUCCACUUCUCCAAAGAAGUUCCAUUACUCUUUAGAAGCUUCUCAAUCUCUAUAAGCGCGUACUGUUUUUUUCCGCAUCACUCAAACUAAGAUCUGGUUCCAAAAAAAUAUAUAGUUACUAACAAUUCAGACUAUAUUACCGAGAAAUCUUGCUUUCACAUAUUUAUUUUCAAAAAUAUUUGAGUCAAAAAAUUGUACUUGGUCUAUGUAAUAGCUUUCUUCUCUUAUGCUCAAUGUCUUCAACAAGAAACUCCCAAGUCUCUUCCCAAACGACUUCUGGAUUUGACAAACUCUUAGACAUGAGUAUGAUAACAAAAGCUUGACGCAAAUAACACGCAGAACUAGUGAAACUUGCUCUUUUGAGGUCGUCAAUAUAUUCCUGAUCAUCUUCUAACAGUCCCAUUGCAAAACAUGUCUCCUUGUAUGAAGGAUACUCCACCCCUCGAAACGUCUUAAUAUCUUCAUAACAUGUUGGACCUCUCACAAUGUUAAGCAACACACGACAAUAGAAUGUGUCUUCAAUCUCACGUGGUGCAUAAUUGAUUCUCCCAAUGCUGAAUCCUUUCCUCCUAUCAUGAAAUCUUUUGUCUUUCUUAUUCCAAAUUAACCUUGUUGGAAUUUCAGCUAAAGUGAGUGUCCGAGCUAUUGAACUGAACUUGUUCAAUUCAAACCAACCCAAAAACAUAGUAUUUUCAAUAAGCUUCCGGCUAGUUACUUUUUCAUAUGUAUCAUCAUCUUUAAAAAUAAUGAUCUGUUUUCCUUCAAGAUGCCACUGCAAUCUCUCAACUGGUGUUGAUAUGUAGUGAAUAUGAAACAUAAAAGUCCUCCAAGCACCUUCGCAGGCUGAGACAUAUCUGAACAAUGAAUAAUAGCAAGACGAUCAGGAUACUACAAAGUAAACAUCCACUGACUUGGAAAGCUCAAUAUUAAAUUUUAUAAAUCUGCUAGAAAUAAUACAUGCAGUUGAAGAAGUCCUUGAUUUCAUUUUUUUUCUUCUCAUUCAACUUACCAUUCGUUGAAAUGUUCUGGCCGGCAGAUCUUUUUUCUGGGGGCUCAACAGCAAUGAUGACACGAUCCUGCCCUUUGUUAAUAUACUUGAAUAAGUAUUUUAUAGAACCGGUCUGAUUGCACCACUCCACAUUAAUGUGAGCACGAAAACGAAGAGAAAAAUCCUUGUUGUAUGGAAUCACAUAUCUGUUGCCACACUUGAAACCUUUUUUUUCAACAAAUAUGUCUGGUUGUUCUCGUCUUCUAUACACAGGAAACCCUUCUUUGUUGACGGUAGUCACCUCAGCAUAAGCUUUAGGAUACAUCUUCGAACAUAAACCAUUUUCCAUGCAUGGAGAAUUCAUGUUAACAGCUCCACAUGGACCAUGAAUCAUCAUAUCUUUAAUAAUGUCAUAAAGCUCUGGCUCUUUGUCCUUAUCUGGAAUCUCAGCAACGAUAACAUUGUCAAUGUCAUCCGUCGUAGAAAAUUUAGAAUUAGGAUGCAUGAACAACAUAAUAUGUGCAUGUGGUAGACCGCGUAUCUGCCACUCAACAGUGUACAUAGCUGAAAUAAAAUAAAAAUGAGUAAAAGAUCUAUACUUAAAAAACGGGUCAAAAGUAUAAAAAAAAGAGAAUAACACAUAAUUACUCACAUGAGACUGUCUUCCCCAGCAGCUCUUUAUCCGUUAAAUCAAUCAUGAGAGAAUCAAGUUUGAUUUUGAAAAUCCUUCCAAUAAUAUCAGGUCUAUCAUCAGCAAUAAGGUUCCGCUUUUGUAGAUACCUGGUGAUUUCAGGCCAUUUAGGAUUGCAGGUGAAUGUUAUAAACAGAUCAGGAAACCCAAAAUAUUUGCAUAUAGCCAUUGCAUCCAUAUAAUUGUUCUUCAUGUAUCUUGGUCCUCCUGUGAAUGAGGCUGGUAGCAAAAAUCGCUCUCCUUGAUCAUGCAUAUCCUUCUUUCCUGCGUUCUCGGCCUGUUGUAUUCAAUCACCAAGUGCUACAUCUGAUCACUUAUUUGAGAGAGUUGGUUCUAGGGUUAAUUUGAGGUUGCAUCACAAAAAAAAAAAAAAAAAUUGAAACCUCAUGUUUUAGGUAUUUAUGAAAAUAUUUUUUUAAUAAAGAUAAAUAAGAAUAGUGAUACAAAAAUUCGUUAAAAAUAGAUUUUUCCAAAAAUAAAUUUAUGAAGCACUAUAUACAUUUUCUAUAAAUCAUAGAGUUAGUUACCGUAAAUUUUUAUGUGUAUAUUUUGGUUGUAUGGAUACUAAUACAAAUUAGUUCUAUAGCUACUUUUUGUCCAUUAAAAUAAAUAAAAAUUAAAAAAAAUUAACGGAUCAAGUUAUAACAGUUUUUUUUGUAACUUUCUCUGUAUAAUUGAUAUCAAAUAAAAAAUCACUUAAGUUACUUUUUAUUUAAUAUAUAGUAGAAUGUGAUAUUAUUCUUCUAUCAGUAGCAUUUAAUGUAAGCCUUUAGUUUCAAAAAAAAAAGUAGCAUUUAAUGUACGAAUAUGGAAUAUGCAUGACAGACAAUACAGCGACAUUAGCACAAUGAUAUUAGAUAUAUCUUGGUCAUUUUUAAUUUAUUAUAUAAAGAGUUGAUUACUCUCUAGACCACUUUUUGACUUUUCUUUACACUCAUAGUCACUUCCUACAUGUGAGACACUUUGUUGUGGGACAGCAAUAAAUUGUUGACAACUUUGUCCUUAAUAGACAUUCGAUGCGUGGACGGAUGCUACGUGGACGGGUGAUGUGUGGAUGGAUGAUACGUGAACGGGUGAUGCGUCGACGGAGAUGAGUGUAAAAAUUCCAGAAGCUUCAUCAGAUCAAGCUCCACAAUAGUUGAACUUAAAGACACAACUCCAACAACAAUGUUUGUCUGUGGACGGGGACGAGAAGAUUUUGAUUAUGUUGUGGAUAUAAAGGCUAACAUAACCAUGAGUAAAGAACAAGAGAGAUCUCUUAAAUUUGUGUAUAGGUAGGAAUGGCAUUUGGUACCACCCGCCCCGCCGUAGCCCGCCCUACAAUGGUCUCUCUCUCCAGCGGUUCUUUGCGGGUUGGCCCGCCACGACCCGCAGUCUCAAUCCUUAAGUCCAAACCCGUCCCGCUAACAUCUUAAGCCUUUGCGGGCAGCCCGCGGGUCGUCAAAUAUUAGUGGCAAACAGUACCACCCGCCCCGCCGUGGUCCGCCCCGCCGGUGGAGGCUCGAGGAAGGAGAGAAAUUCCGGCGGCGGGAUCUCCAAGAAGAGAAGUUAUGGUGGUGGAAAGAAGACGGAGAGAAGCUCCGGUGGAGGCUCGAGGAAGGAGAAAAGUUUCGGUGGCGGGAUCUCCAAGAAGAGAAGUUAUGGUGGUGGAAAGAAGACGGAGAGAAGCUCCGGUGGUGACCUUAGUCGAGGAGAAGAAACGGUUGGUGGUGAUGCUCCUCUGGUGCUCGUCAAUGGAGUCGUGGCCACAUAAAACAUGAAUCGCCAUAUCGUCAUUUUUGUCCAUCUUUUUUUUUUCACGUGUAGACACAACAAAAGAGGAAGUUGUGCGGGUUCUUUCUGCCCCGCAAGACCCGAAAUGACUCAAACCGUAAAGGCCCAACCCGCAUGAGACUUAACCCGCGAGACCCACUCACAAAUGGGCCUACAGUAUCUCUACCCAAACCCGCCCCGCAUGGGUCUUGUACGGGCCAGGCCCGCGGGGUGCGGUCCAAUUGCCAUUCCUAUGUACAGGGAAUUGAAGCUUGAUAUAGUGGAUAGAGUACUAAAUCAAACACUAAACAUAGAUAUAAAAAUGUAACAUAUUGAAAGACUGUGAUAUGAAUGCCAAUGUGUCCACAAUUUCAAGGAUGAACAAAUUAAUAACUUCAAACCAAUAACUACAACGUACAUGUCGAGAAAAAAAAACAAGCUUGAGUGAUGAAAACAAAGCUAAAUAAACCAAAAAGUUAAAACGAGUCAUCUCCUCCUCCAAAACUCCCGGUCAAAACGAGUCAGCUCCUCUUCCCGGUGAGCCACACCAUGGAUUCCGAGCUCAACAUCGUCGUGGAUGAGCUUGGUGAAGCUGCGGUGGUUCGAGCUCGUCACAGUCCUCCACCAUGAGAUAUAUAGUAUGCUGAAUUUUGAAUUUUCAUCAUAAUUUUACUCGUCCACAAAUAGCCGUCCAUGUUUACCCGUCCACGCUUAUUUUCCCACACCCAACCACAUAUGUUGUUUCAUGCUUAUAUUCUACAUGUAGUUAUCCAUGUUUUUCAAAUAUACACACAUCACUCAUCCACAACACAAUCAUUGAAUACAUGUACAAGUAUAGAUUUUAAAAUAUAACAAAAAUAUAUAUCAAAGUGGAUAUCAAAUUAUAGAGAAUAAAAAAAUAUAAUUUAUUAUAUCCACAAAAUUUUCUAUAUGUAUUUUUAAUUUAAAAAUAACCAAAAACAAAAUAUUAAAAAGUAGACUAAACAAUAAUAAAGAAACGUAUUUUCUCUUUACUUUUGUCUAAGAAAUAUCUCAUUUUCUUCUCAUUAAGGGCAAAUAUGUAUAUUCUUUCUGUAAGUCCCAUAAAAAGUGUUUUGCAAAUGCAUUGUUAUCUUGGAUGUAAUUGAAAAGUGAUAAAGUGAUUUCGGAUGUAAAAAAAUCUUAUAUAAAUGUGAGUAAAGUCGAUUACUUCUUAUUUUAUUUUUUUUAAUUACUGUCCACUUGUUGACAAACGUAAUAAAAAAAAUUCUACACCACAGAAUCAUCAUGCUGUAAACAUCCUUGAGUCUAUAUUUUAUAAAUGUACUCUCGAAUAAGGAAGAUUACACAUUCAUGUAUAUUGUCAAAUCACUAAUAAAGCUUUCGGUUCCUUUGCUAAGAUUUUAUUCGAUUUCUUCGAACAUGUAGAUAUUCUAUUUCCACUCCUGUACCAAGAUUUUUUCUCCAUUUGUAUAUAUGUUUUGUUCAUUUUAAUUAUUUUGAUUCAAAGGUUAAGAGUUCUAGAUUUUGACUGAUAAAAUUGAAUGCUAAAUGGAAUGAGAAGAAAAGUCAAGAGAAAAAAUAUAAACAAAAUUUUAGUGUACAUUUUCCUCUGUUUUUUCAUUGAACCUUAUAGAAGAAGUUUGAUUUCCACUUUUCCGCAAACCAAAAAAUAAUAACGAAUUAAUUCGUUCCAUCUUUUUUAUUGGUUGAAAGAGAAACUAUAACACAAUAAAAUUCAACGCUGCUGAAAACCUAUUCUCUUUUUUGAACCUGCCACUAGAAACCAAAAUAGUGUAAGUGUACUAAUUAUAACUUGACUACAGAAACCUAAAAGAAAAAACUUAAGAAGAGUAGUAUAUUUAAUUAAUAAACUAGAUUUUGAUUUGCGCUUUCAAAGCGCGAAAAUAUAUUUGUUGACAAAUUUAUUGAUAUAACUGUUUGUUAACUAAUUUAUUUCGCUAUAAACAUUUUCGGUUUUCGUUCGAUUCUAAUUUGCUUUUAUUGAUUUUUGAUUUCAGUUUGUUUGUGGUUUUUGGUUUAGAAAUAUAUGAACAAUUUUGGUUAUAUAUGAAGUUGAGUUUUGGUUAAAGUGAUUGAAUAUUUUGAUAUUUUGUGUGGUAUGGAUAUAUAAAAAUUUUGAAUUUUUCGGUUCUGGUUACAUUACUGUUUUAAAUCAUUUCAAAUAAUUGAGGUAAAAUAAAAAAAUCUUCAUAUUGUGAAACACCAAUAUAGUAAAAUGAAAGAAAUAUUUAGAAAAUUAUUUUAUUUACAUAUCUAUUUAUUUAACGUAUAAAUAAUAUAGCAAAGAAUAAAAAAUAGUUUUAAUAACAUAAAGUUACUAUAUUCAUAAAAAAUGUUAUAGUUUUUAUUAAAAUAUAAUCUGUAAUGUUUAUAUAAUGAAAAAGUUAUAAUGUCGAUAUUUUAUAUUUUCAAAUAUUUUAAUUUGCUGAAAAGAAUUAAAAUGAGACGCACUAUUACCUGAUUUUAAAAUCACAUGCAAAAAUGAUCAAGUUGGAUCGCAAAAACCAAUUCAACCAGAAAGCAAAGCAAACAUAUAUCUUAUUUUAUCUUAAUAGACCCAAGCCCACUGUCCUUACAAAUUUAGUUUAUUGUUUUGACCGACAAAAUCAUGUUUAUUAUUGGAAAAGUCACUGAAAAAAAUUAACGGAAAAUUUUGUAAUUAAUUGAAAAAGUCGGGGACAUAAUCCUAAGAAGGAUUUUGUUUUAAUAGUAUAGAUUUUAUUCCAGACAAACCUAACUAAACAAAAAAAAAACAACCUUCAGCCGCAUAGUGCAUAUUAGAAAAGAAUAACUAGAGUUUCAUACCACGAAAAAGGUAAAAUGGCGGGUAAUACUACUAUAGUAAAAAGUAUUACUAUAACAUACGUGCUCAAUGAUUACUAGCUAAUUAGUCCCCCAAACUAUUCUUUUGUGAGUGGAGGAAAUAUUUAAUAUUAUUUUCGUUAUCAUUGUGAAGAAGACCCUCUUAGCAUAGCAUAUCAUUGUGGAAGUGGGAAUUGCGAUAUACACAUAAUCUAUAUAUUAAUUGAGAAACAUUUGAAAAAAUGUAACCUCAAUUUUGUAUUAAUUAAAAUAGGUCCCAAUGCAUAGGUGACACUCAAUUAGAUAGUCAAUUACAUUCAAUUGAAAAAUAAGUAGGUCCACAUUCGAUUUUUAUAUGUUGUUAGAUACAUAAGUUGGUUAAACUAUAUGAUAUAAUGAUAUGAUAUGCUAUUUUUUUUCCUUAAAUAAAACCUACGGAAUUACCAUAAAUGACUAAUAUAUAUAUGACAAUUAAUGAUUUUAAUAAUAAAGAUUUGAUAACAAUUUAUAUCUCCUCCAUCAUUUUUCG